CUUUAAUUGCCAUCAUUUAGUUGGGCACUUUAAGAGACUGCCGGUGUUAAGCCGGAGGAAGUGGGGAUGACGUCAAGUCCUCAUGGCCUUUAUGCCCAGGGCUACACACGUGCUACAAUGGGCGGUACAAAGAGAAGCAACCUCGCGAGGGUGAGCAAAUCUCAAAAAGCCGUUCUCAGUUCGGAUUGAAGUCUGCAACUCGACUUCAUGAAGUCGGAAUCGCUAGUAAUCGCGGAUCAGCAUGCCGCGGUGAAUACGUUCCCGGGCCUU
rnacentral:rRNA from 1 species